rnacentral:rRNA from 1 species
GCACGAAAGCGUGGGAGCNAACAGGAUUAGAUACCCUGGUAGUCCACGCCCUAAACCAUGUCAACUGGGUGUUGGGGAAGCGAUUCCCUAGUACCGUAGCUAACGCGUGAAGUUGACCGCCUGGGGAGUACGGCCGCAAGGUUAAAACUCAAAGGAAUUGACGGGGACCCGCACAAGCGGUGGAUGAUGUGGAUUAAUUCGAUGCAACGCGAACAACCUUACCUACCCUUGACAUGUGCCGAAGCCCGCUGAGAGGUGGGUGUGCCCGAAAGGGAACGGCAACACAGGUGCUGCAUGGCUGUCGUCAGCUCGUGUCGUGAGAUGUUGGGUUAAGUCCCGCAACGAGCGCAACCCUUGUCCCUAGUUGCUACGCAAGGGCACUCUAGGGAGACUGCCGGUGACAAACCGGAGGAAGGUGGGGAUGACGUCAAGUCCUCAUGGCCCUUAUGGGUAGGGCUUCACACGUCAUACAAUGGCCGGUACAGAGGGUUGCCAAGCCGCGAGGCGGAGCCAAUCCCAGAAAGCCGGUCGUAGUCCGGAUUGCAGUCUGCAACUCGACUGCAUGAAGUCGGAAUCGCUAGUAAUCGCGGAUCAGCAUGUCGCGGUGAAUACGUUCCCGGGUCUUGUACACACCGCCCGUCACACCAUGGGAGUGGGGUGCACCAGAAGUAGGUAGGCUAACCGCAAGGGGGCCGCCUACCACGGUACGCUUGCA